AUUAUCGAAAUGAACAAAAACUAAAAAACACAUUGUGUGGGUGCCAUACGAGCAAGAAUGAUAGAUUACAAGAUUACGACAUUUGUUUACUAUUAGCUUCUUUGGAUUUUAUUUUCCUGUCGCAUGACGUCACAAAGACCCAGUGGUCGGUAGUACAAAACAAUAAAACAAAGCCAAAAAGUGGAAGUGAGCGGUAAUACCCACAUUUCCAUUUGACAAGUCUUCACGUUGCCUAUUCCCAUUCUGGGCCGGAUGACGUCACUUUUUAGUAAUCUUGUCUUCUAUCAUUCUUGCAUACGAGUUACCUCAAAUCGAUUAGCAACAAAUCUAUCCAAUUCUGAAGCUGAUGGUUACUGGUGAGGAAAAGAGUGUCGCUUACGACAAUUUUAAGCGAAACCGGUCGCGAUGAACUGCAUUUAGCCGCCAGAAAAGAUGGGCUAGUCAGGAUUGACGGUAUUGAUCGCAAGAAUCUCCUACUUUAUAUUAUUUUACGAUCGCUAUAAAUAUGUAUGUGUAUGAGAUAUUAGGGUGUAAAAUUCGAACUUGGUACAAUAGGUUAUAGUGAGAUCGUAACUCUUGUUCAUUUGUCGAAGGCGUGGGCCUGCCCUCUACUGGGUAAUAUGUAUUUAGUCAUCCCAUAAGUCCUGUUAAAAGUUUUGGUUUAAAUAUUUAACUAUUGUAUCUUAUUUUAAAAAUGUAUGAACGAUGUACAAAAUCUUAUUGGAUAUGUUCUUAUUUUGCUUUUACACAUGUCAUCAAAUCAUUCUGACGUUGAUCAAUAACGGAACAUGAUAGAGAUUGGCGAGAGACUUUCUCUAGCACUCCUUCCUAGAGAUGAUACCAUCCGAGAAACAAACUUCACUAGGAGAUUCAAGAUCACCCUAGGCAAAAUAGACAACUGGAACAGCCAGGCCUUGGAUCUUUAUUGGAAAGCAACUCGCUGCAUUGGUAUACUGACGGUUCCAAGACGACUGAAGGCAUAGGUGCGGGAAUAACAGACCCUCGCACUAAACUCUCUGUGCCACUGGGUGCUUUUCCUAGCAUUUUCCAGGCAGAAGUUUAUGGAAUAUACCGGUGCGCUGAAAUAAACAUUCAGCGUAGGUAUCAUAACGAGAUGCCAUCAUGAGCGAUAGCAAGGCGGCACUAAAAGCGCUUUCCUCAUAGUCCCGCCUGGUUAGAGAGUGCAUGGAUAGACUAAAUUAUCUAUCAUCGUGCAACAAAGUUCACCUCAUCUGGGUGCCGGGAUAGAUGGUAAUGAAACUGCAGACGAGCUUGCUCGUACAGCUGCUGCAACUAUACCGGCUGGGCCAGAACCCUUUCUGGCAGUGGGCCCCCACACUAUCCGGGAUAUGUUCCGGGCAGAGGAAAAAAGAGUUAGGGAGGAGCAUUGGCGCCAUUCAGCUGGUUUGCGUCAAUCAAAAGGCCUAUUGGGAGGUUAUAACAACAAAAGAUUCAAGUGCUUAAUAAACCUCCCAAGGUGCAAACUACGGGUAUUGGUUGGUAUAUACACGGGCCACUGUAAGGUCAGGACACAUCUUAAUAAUCUGGGCUUGGUCUCGUUGCGGACCUGUCGCUUCUGUGGCAUGGAGGACGAAACUCCCCUGCACUUACUGCUGGAAUGUGCAGCGCUUCACAGAAACAGGAGCAAAGUUUUGGGAUAUAUCAUCCCAACAGAUGGGCGAAUCGGCUCGCUAAGUCCUAAUACUAUCCUGGAAUUUUUCAGGAUACUGGAUCUUAUGGAGUAUCUAUCUAUCUAUCUAUUAUACUAAUAAUCAAAUAUUUAGAAAAAUUAGACAUCAUAACUUGUUUUUUUUUCAGAAUCAUUAAAAAAAAUCAUUUUGGCAAAAAAAUAAAACAAAUAAUAACAAGUAAGGAAGGGCUAAAUUCGGAUGUAACCGAACAUUUUAUGCUCUCGCAAUUUAUUUAUUUAAUUUUAUUAAUAUAACACAUAAUUAGACUCACAUAUUCGUCAUUUAUAUGGUAUUAAGUUCGUUCAAAGUUGGAAACCCUAAUAUUAGGUAUAUCGGAGUUAAGUGAAGUUAUGACCUGAUUUGAUGCAUUUUAAUUAUAUUAUUAAAUGAAAGAUAUUCCCUCUGAAUUUCUUCAAAAUAUCUGAGUGACUUACUUAUAUUUUUAUUAAAAAUUAAUUCGAAGGUCUGAGGUCUUCAUGUUCAAUAUAUGGAGCCUUGAAAACUUAUACGAUUUCGUUGAGUUUUAGAAGAGCAAUACCACCCUAUUAAUGCAGUAUUUAUGCAAAGUUUUGUUCCGAUAUGUUCACUAGUGCUUUAUAAAGUGGAACUUCUCUAAGUUAAUCCACGAGUUAGAGACUAUAGAUUAUAUAUUAUUAUAUUAUAAUUAUAUAUACUAAAUUAUAGAAUUUUCAUUAAAACAUACAAACUUUCAAAAAGCUGUAAAAUAUAGAUUUAUACACAGUUCUAAUUAUUAACUUCGCAUAAAGUAUUAUGUACAUACGUUAAAACAUGUAUUCUGUAAUUUUGUUUGUUGUAGUUUGCAAUUAUUGGCUCUUGACGUCUGUGUCACAUGCCUUUGUUAGAUGAUUUAUGCAAUCCAUAUGUGUAAUAUUAUAUUUUUGUUUGCCUCCGUACAAUAUAGAGUGACUCUUUUAAAAUUCUGCCUCGAUAGUAAAAUUUUAAAUUUUGUAUUAAUUACUGCCCAAAAAGUUCGAUUUAUGGAAGGAAGUUUGUAUGAAAGUUUCACUCUAUUGCCUCUUCAAGAGUUUGAGUUAUAUAAAUUCGAGUUAUGGAAGGAAAAGUUUGGCUUCUAAACGCUAUUGCCAAUUCAAGAGUUCGAGUUAUGGAGAUCUUUGAGUUAUAGAAGUUCAAGUUAUGGAAAUUCCACUGUAUAUUGUAAACUAAACGAUUCAGAUCUACUUCAAAGUUCUGGUAUAUAGGAAGUAGCCGUGGUUGUGAACCGAUUUUGCCUUUUUUUCCCCAACAUAUCAUUGGGACGUAAGGAAAAUAUCACAAACCAAAUUUCAUUGAAAUUUGUCGAGUAGUUUCGGAGAUAUAUUUUGUAUACCAAUUUGAGUGCAGGUCUUCCGUACUUUCUUUAGAAUGAAAUCACUUUUAGUAGUUUUCACCAUAACCUUUAUAUGGGAGGUAGGCGUGGGUAUAAUUUGGUGGUGGUUUAGUAGUUUAGGAGAUAUGUACAAAAACUUAGUAGGAGGAGAGGCCACGCCCACUUCUCCAAAAAAAUACAUCAAAAUAUGCCCCUUAAUAGUGCGAUCCUUUGUAGCAAAUUUUACUUUCAUAACUUUAAUUAUGGAUUUCGGUUUUCGCCAUUUUGUGGACGUGGCAGUGGUCCGAGUUUGCCCAUCUUCGAAAGCAACAUUCCAAUGGUGCCACAAAACAAGUGUACCAAGUGUCAUCGAGAUCGCUUAAUUUUUUUUUUUUUCAAGUUUUAGCUUGCACAGACAGACGGAAGGAUAGACAGACAUCCGGAUUUGAAUCCCACUCUUCAUCCUGAUCAUUUUCGUAUAUGUAACCUUAUAUUUAACUCGUUUAGUUUUAGGUGUUACAAACAACCGUUAUGUGAACAAAAAUAUUAACUCUCUUAACAACUUUGUUGCGGGAGUAUAAAAAACUUAACAAUGUAUGUUCAAAUGUCAAUAACAGCAAUUUUCUUAGUGAUUUGCAGUUUUAUGUAUCACUGAGCAUCGACUGUCGAGUUAAUGGUUUUAAAUAUGAUUCACUGUAACAAAUAUUGUUGAUGCGUUACAGAACAUACGUAAGCGUUGCAAUUGACGUUUUCGAAGUUAGCCACAUAUUCAUUCAACAACUGUUUGUACAUCUGAAGGCAGCUAAUUGGUUUUCCCGCAGAAACUAGACUAACAUAAUAUCAAGAAUGAUAGAACACAUUACGAGACAGUUUUUUUUCUUUUCCUUUGAGUGACAAAUGCAAUGAUUUUUUUAAAUGAAGUGUGUAAUGCCCGGAAUUUUUCCAACCAACAAAUAAUAUCCAAAAAAUAGAAAUAGAUAAUUGAAAUCUGUGAUCAUAACCUAUAACCUAUAAAAAAAUUUGUUAUUCAUAACCUAUAACAAAAUGUUGUAUUAAAGUACACGAAAAUUUUUAAAUUACUUAGAUUUUUGAAAUCCAAAUUGUCCAAAUUAAUGCCGGUAUUCUCCGAGCAGUCUCAAGUCUCUAAUAGAGACGAAUCUGUGGUGUAAUCUCUAUAGUGACUUUUUGGUAUUCUGGCGAGUUUGUCUCAUCUCUAUUUGAGCAAUAACAGUCUCUAAUUUGUGAUGUGCUUUAAACCAGGUCACAGAAAAACAAGAGCAAAAUAAUGGAUGAUGCCUAAUAUAUAUUAUAAUGAAAAAAACGAGAAGAAGAGAGAUAAUAUAUUAAUAUUUGCAACUUUGCAAUAAUACAUAACAAAGUGCUUAUGUUUUAGCUACACUCGUAGGCGCAAUCUGGCUAUUUUGCGCAACAAGGAAGAUCACUUUUUAGAUGAAGAAAAUACAUUUAGGAAAUUAUUUCGAUUUCCAAAACACAAAUAUAUUUGUAUAUAUUAUAUAUAUAUCCAAAAUCCAAAAUAUAUAAUAAUCAUAAAAUAAUGAAUUUGUAUUUUUUACAAUUAUUUACCUUCGAUUGCCGUUAUGCUCAAAUGUAAGGAUGAGUACGUCUGUUAAUCGAUUGUUAGGUAAAUUUUUUCAUAUUUACUUAACAAUUGAUUCAAAUAAAAUACAUAUAUUACGCAUUUAUUAUAAAUUAUUUUAGUAUUAUUUUAAAUAAUAGUAUUAUCCAAUUAUUUAUAAGACAUUUCUCUGCUGAAAUUUGGUGCGUGCAAUCAAUUCACAAAUUAUCAUUGUGAACAUGCACUCAUCUCUAAUCAACUAAAAUAAACAGCUGAUAGCUUGCUCUUCAUUUCACCACACUAUUUGGUGAACUUUUUUGAGACUGUGUCAACCAGAAUACCAAAAUGAUACAUCCUGACUAACAGGGUCGCCAAUUCGCAAUUGUGACAAAUAGAGACAUGAGACAAAUGUGACAAGCAGAAUACCGGCAUAAGUAGUUCAAAAACUUAUACAUAUAUUGGAAUUAAAGCACUCUUAUUUACGAAGUUAUUUAUUUUGAUAAGGAUUAAUACCAAAGUAUAAAUAAAGGAGCUUAUAGCGGUGGUAUUUAAACAUAUUUUUUAAUGAAAAAACACUAAUGGUGGUUGCAAUAGUUAGACAUAUGCUUUCGAGCAAUUUUUGUAGAUAUUGAAGUUAUUUAAUAUUGAGGAACAUAUAUAGUUUCCGGAGCGCAGGCAAAGCAAUACGUUUUAGGGCACUUUUUUUCACCUUGGUUAAGUUUAAAUAACGAUCACUAUUAUUUUCUAGCAAUAAAUAUAACCUAUGUUACUCAGGGUGAAAGUAGCUUUCCAAUGGUGAAUAUAAUAAUUUUUGAAAUCGGCACAGUAGUUUUUGAGUUUAUUCAUUACAAACAUACAUUAAAAUCUUUCUUCUAAUAUAAUUGUAGUAUAGAUAUACUGUUAUUUGCAGGGAACAUUUUAUAGAUGACGACUAUUUGAAUAUAGUUAAAUAUGAAAUUUUAAAUAUACAUUAUUAAUUUAUUUCACUAGGUAUUACAUUAUAAAUCUUGUCUCCUAACAUUUUUGCUUUAUAUAAAAGUAUAACCAGUAGAACAAGUAAUACCAUAUUCAAAUAUUUUGCAAACACAUUAAAAUGAAAGAUUAUAUUCUGGAUUUUGAAGCUUUAAUCCUGUGAUGAACAAUGCAAAUUCUUCCAGUAUUUACUCUCUAGUAGUUCUUUAUUAAACGAAGUGUUUUGCUGGGAAUACCUAGUCAGAUUUUUGCAUGCAGUAAUAAAAUUCGUACUGAUUUGGGAGUUGCUCAACACCUCAAUACAAAUCAGCAUGGCAUGUGGAAAUUGAAAUUCUUUGCGCAUAGCUAAUGCUGACAGCAUUAAAAUAUUUAUUUUGUUUUUGCUGUUGACUUGGAAGUCUGUUGAAUUUAAAAUACUAAGGGUACCUGCAGAGUGGACGCUCAAAGCCGAGCCGAGCGCAACGCUGAUGAAUGCUAGAAAUAAGCGUCAAAGCUGUGCGCAUACAUUUUUAUACGAAAUCACACAGUUGGCGCAGAGUGGAAGUUGACCGAGGCAGAGCGUAACGCUGAUCAACGCGAGAAAAACAGUUUUGUAGUGUUUUUCGGCUCUGAAUCGCGCUGAAACGUAUUUAUUCACUUAAUUUUUGCAAUUUUAAGUGCAAAUAUGUAUGUCAUUAUCUUGAUAUUUUUAAUUUAAAUUUGGAUUAAAUAAAUUAAUUUCGAAAAUAUGUUUAAUAUAAUAUUAAUAAUAAUAAAAAAAUGUAAUUAUACAUUAAAAUCAAGAGUGUAAUCGAAUAUUAAUUGAUUUAUAUUUAAAAAACUAGCGAAUAUCGUAAUAAAUCAGUAUACAAAUAUUAAAAGUUUAAAGAACAAAAGUACAUAUACAUACGUACAUUUAGCGACUCUCACAACCACUCUGCGGUACCUAAAAUUGAUCAGUGCUGAUCGAAAUCAGCCUUGCGCUCGGCUCGACUUUGAGCGUCCACUCUUCAGGUACCCUAAGUUAUGUUGACAUUUGACCUGCUCUCUCUCUCUCUCAUUGUUUCUAUUUUUAUUAUCAUUGCUUCAAUUAUGAUACUACUCUAGUUUUUCCUGAAUGUGUUCCGUAAUAAUGAAAUAUGUGAAGAUUUUAAGCUUUAAGAUUAAAAAAAAAUUGGAUGAAAGGAUAUGAAAUACGACAAGUCUGUAUACAAAAUGCUGGCAAGUGAUAAUUAGUCAAGUUUCUGCUGGAAAAGCGUGUUUUUAAUCAAAAAAUUAAUAGAAACUAGCAGAAGAGAGCAUCCGCUGAUCGCAUGAGAGCUGCUAGUUUCUGCCUGUGGAAUUUUCGCUAGCAACAGCUAGCAGCCGUCAGAUGUAGAAAGAGCAGUUGAAUGAAUGUGUAAAUCAGGGCUACUUUGAGCAUUUGCUCUUAUUUAGUUCUUUUAAUGAUUUUUGUUUAUUAAAAUUAAAUCAAAUAUUCAUUAAAUAACGACGAAACACAAAUUGUGAAUGUUUAAACUAAUUAGAAUUUUAUAUAUACGGGCAUAUGUGCAUAUAUUAAUUAAUUUAUUGUUUUUUAUUAUAAAAGUGAAUUAAAUUGGGGAAACUUUAGUAUACUAUCCCAGGCUUUUGGGGGUAAAAUGGGUAUGGUUGGAAAAAGGAUGAGGAGAGGUUCAGAUUAAGAAUAUAUACACAUAGCUUCAGCUGACUUAUAGUUUUCGAGAUAUUCGAUUAAAUGUCAAAAAUUUACAACACGUUAUUUCUCACUGAAUAUUGAAUUUUUCACAUGUAUUUUGCACUUCACAUAUAUUUACACUUCACUAAUUUGUGUCUACAUAUUUAUUUUAUAUUGUAUGUAUGUUAUUGGCGUUCAACCGUUUAGCCGGUUAUAGCCGAAUCGAUGAGAGCGCCCCACUCGUCUCUUUCCUUCGCAGUUCGGCGACAGUUGGAGAUUCCAAGUGUAACCAGGUCGCUCUCCACCUGGUCCCUCCAACGGAGUGGAGGCCUUCCCCUUCCUCGGCUUCCUCCGCCGGGUACUGCAUCGAACACUUUCAGGGCAGGAUUGUUUUCGUCCAUUCGGACAACAUGACCUAGCCAGCGUAGCCACUGUCUUUUUAUUCGCUGAACUAUGUCAAUGUCGUCGUAUAACUCGUACAGCUCAUCGUUCCAUCGUCUGUGGUAUUUGCCGUUGCCAAUGUUCUGAGGACCAUAAAUCUUGCGCAAUAUUUUCCUCUCGAAAACUCCUAGUGUCGUCUCAUCUGAUGUUGACAUCGCGGCAUAAAGGCAGCUCCUUUUCGUGCUGUCGAAAGCAGCUUUAAAAUCGACAAAAAGGUGGUGUGUGUUGAUCCUAUUUUCACGGGUCUCCUCCAAAAUUUGGCGCAUGGUGAAUAUCUGGUCCAUUGUGGAUUUUCCAGGUCUAAAGCCACACUGAUAAGGUCCAAUCAGUUUGUUGACGGUGGGUUUAAGUCUUUCACACAGUACGCUUGAUAGAACAUAAUAGGCGACAUUUAGGAGGCUUAUCCCACGGUAAUUGGCACAGUUUGUGGGAUCUCCCUUUUUAUGGAUUGGGCAAAGCACACUGAGGUUCCAAUCGUCAGGCAUGCUUUCUUCCGACCAUAAUUUGCAAAGAAGAUGUUGCAUCCGGUAAACUAUCGGCCCCUGCCGCUUGGUUGUUCUUCAGGCGGGUAAUUGCUAUUCGAAUUUCUUCAUGGUCGGGUAAUGGAACAUCUAUUCCAUCGUCAUCGAUUGGGUAAUCGGGUUCGCCAACUCCAGGUGUUGUACUUUCACUGCUAUUCAGCAGGUCGGAGAAGUGUUCCCUCCAUAAUCCCAGUAUGCCCUGGACAUCGGUUACCAGAUUACCACCUUGGUCUCUACAUGAGGAUGCUCCGGUCUUGAAACCUUCGUUAAGUCGCUUCAUUUUUUCAUAAAAUUUUCGAACAUUCCCUCUGUCUGCCAGGUUCUCAAGCUCUUCGUACUCACUCAUUUCGGCCUCUUUCUUUUUUUGUCUGCAGAUGCGUCUCGCUUCCCUCUUCAGCUCUCGGUAUCUAUCACAUCCCGCACGUGUUGUGGUCGUUUGCAACGUUGCGAGGUAGGCAGUCUGUUUUCCCUCCGCUGCGAGACGGCAUUCCUCAUUGUACCAGCUAUUUUUUUUAACUUUUCCGAAAGCCAAUUGUUUCGGCUGCAGCGGUACGCAGUGAGUUUGAGAUGCCGUUCCACAGUUCCCUUAUACCGAGAUGCUGAUGAGUGCUCUCAGAGAGCAAGAGUGCAAGUCGAGUAGAGUAUUUCGUGGCUGUCUGUUGCGAUUGCAGCUUUUCGACGUCGAACCUUCCUUGUGUUUGUUGACGGGCGUUCUUUGCUGCACAGAGGCGGGUGCGUAUCUUCGCUGCAACCAGAUAAUGGUCCGAGUCCAUAUUUGGUCCUCGGAUCGUACGCACGUCUAAAACACUGGAGACACGUCUUCCGUCUAUCACAACGUGAUCGAUUUGGUUACGCGUGUUUCGAUCAGGAGACAGCCAAGUAGCUUGGUGUAUUUUCUUAUGCUGGAAAUUUAUUUUAUAUUUAUAUUACGAAAUUUGCUUUAAAUAAGCAUUUUAGUUUUUAUUCAAUUUUAACAAUAUCACAAUGUAGAAACAAAUUAGUGAAGAGUAAAUACAGUAGAACUUCUCUAACUCGAAUCACCAUAAUCCACAAAAAAACGAGUUACAGAAUUUUCAUUAAAACUUACAAAGCUGUAAAAUAUAAAUUUUUACACAGUUGUAUUUAUUUACUUCGCGUAAAAUUUUAUGUAUUAUAUAUAACCUUAAAACAUAAAUUCUGUAAUUUUGAUUGUUGCAGUUUACUAUUGUUUGGCCAAUGCAGAAAGUAGUUCUACGCGAAAGAAGUUGUGAUUUCCAUCUCUUUGAUAAUACCCGGUGUUGGAUCGACCAGGGUUAAUUUUUUGAAGCGCAGCCGAAGGCCGCCAAUGCAGAAAGUAGUCCUACGCCAAAGAACUCGUAAUUUUUAUCUCUUUGAGAUGUUGGUGUUGUCUUGAUCAGGGUUAUUUUUAUGAAGCGCGGCCAAAGGCCGCCAAUGCAAAAAGUAGUUCUACGCCUAAAAUCCCUCCUUUUUAUUUAUUUUGAUUUUUUUUGAGAUAUGGCAAUGCUUGUAUUUCGUCAGCAUGCAACCCUUUUGUUAUUGUGUGAAUUGAUAAAACUGAAUACAAAUUAAAAUGCUUAUUGCAGUAAAAUGAUUGUUGCAGUUUACUAUUGGUUCUCUUGACGUCUGUAUCCCAUGCGUUUGUUAUAUGAUUUAUGCAAUCCAUAAGUGUAAUAUCAUAUUUUUUGUUCGCUUCCUUACGAGUUAUGGAGAUCUACGAGUUAUAGACGUUCAAGUUAUGGAAAUUCUAUUGUAUAUGUAAAGUGCAAGAUACAUGUGAAAAAUUCAAUAUACAGUGAGAAACAAUGUGUUAAAUGUUGUAAAUUUUUGACUUUAAGUGCGAGUAUCUCAAAAACUAUAAGUUGCAGCUAUGUAUAUAUAUAUUCUAACCAUACCCAUUUUAUCUCCGAAAGCCUGGGGUAGUAUACUAAAGCCGACCCAUUUAAUUUUUACUGUCAUUCAUUAACUUCAGUUUAAAAGAUCUUGAAUAACAAUUUAUUUCAUUGAUAUAAUAACCGAAAAUGCAAAAAUUACCGACAUUUGGUCUAAAUUAACAGAUAACUUAGCGCCCAAUUGUGUUGAAUCAAUUCGGACCAUAAAAUAGGCUGUUAUUGAUGCCAAAGGCGAGGUAACCAAUUAAUAAUUUAUCGCCUUAGAAUAGUAACAUAGACUAAACAUUAAAAUAAAAAAAAUAUCAUUAAAAAAUAAUAGGAUACUCCAUUUCAAGUUGUGUGUAAAUACUUUUGACUACUGCGAGUCUGUAGUUCAUUUGCUUAUAUCUCCGCAAUAUUUCUAAUUAUUCUGGCCAAACUGGCUUCAUUUUCUCAGGAAAAGAUCAAGGUUUAUAACCACAUAGCAUUUUGUUACCUUGCGACAACAACAACAAGCAAAAGCUUUUUCUGUGAAACUUGUAAAAAAACGGCCAAUGUGUAAAUAAUUUUGACUACCUCUGUAUUUAUUUUAUAUUAAUAAUUUAGGAAUUUGCUUUAAAUAAGCAUUUUAAUUUUUAUUCAAUUUUAUCAAUUCACACAUUAACAAAAGGGUUGCAUGCUGACGAAAUAGUAUAACCAUUGCCAUAUCUAUCCAUAAAAAUUACGAGUUCUUUUGCGUAGGACUACUUUCUGCAUUGGCGGCCUGCGCUUAAAAAAAAUAACCCUGGUCGAGUCAACACCGGGUAUUAUCAAAGAAAUGGAAAUCACAACUACCUUCGCGUAGAACUACUUUCUGCAUUGGCGGCCUUGGGCCGCGCUUCAAAAAUAUAACCCUGGUCGAUCCAACGCCCGGUUUAUUAAAGUAAGAGAAAUACUGAACUAUUUUUCCUAUCACAGUAUAGUGGUACUUGUAUAUGGGCUAUAAUCCCACCUUUCUAAAUACUAUUUUGAUUCAGUUUACACAUUUUUAGAUAUAGCAAUAUUUUCGUCAGCAUGCAACCCUUUUGUUAUUGUGUGAAUUGAUAAAAUUGAAUAAAAAUUAAAAUUAUUAUUUAAAGCAAAUUUCAAAAUAAUUAUCAUCUCCGAAAGAAAGUAGUGAAGUGUGAAUGCAAAAUAUAAUUGAGAAUAUUGGAUUAGCGAGAAAUUACGUGUUAAAAUUAGACAAUUUUUAAAUUUUAAACGCGACUAUCUCAAAAACUAUUAGCCUCCUCGUAGAGAUAUACUAUACUAAAUUCCAGCCUUUAAUUGAAUGUUAGCAAUGUAAUUUCUAAUAUUUGAAGUGAAAAAAGUGCCUAAAAUGUGUUAACGUGUUGACAUUUUUGAUUUUUGGAGCUUUAAAGCCGGAUAUCUCGAAAACUGCGGUACCUAUAACCCUAUAUAUUUUUAUAAUCAGGAGGACUUCCUCUUUCCAACGGAACCUUCAGAUCGCGGCGCAAGAGAAAUCGGAAUUGUGCCAUUAAACCGUCCUCUUUUCUGGAGUUAUACAAAAUUUUCGCCACUCCGGUUAUAAUAUAUUUAAACACAGGGCCAGUUGAAAUUAAAAAAAAAAGGUUUUACAGUGGUUAGAUCGCUCUCGCGCUUUUUAUAGCUUCUAGCUUCUUCACAAGGCAAAUAUUGCAAUGGCUGAACGAAAUGUCUGAUAUAGAGCAAGAUGUAGCUGGUUCGGAUUCGGAAAACGAAACGGUAAAUGAUGCUGCUAUUGAAAGUGCACAUGAUUCAGAAAGCGAAAUUGAAGAAUCCAAAGAUAUUCAGAACAUCUCCGAACCAUCGGAAGGUAACUAUUUUUUAUCUCGACAUACUCAGAGAAAUGGCCCGAAAGUGAAAUGGUCUAAAGUACCGCCGUCUAACAAAGUAAGAACCCGAGCACAAAAUGUUAUUCUUCACUUACCGGGAGUCUCUUACUUACAAGGAACGCAAAUCUCCAGAGAUGUUAUUGAACUUUUGGUCACAAAUACCAAUUUGUAUAUAGAUAAAAUAAAGGCAAAGUUUGAGAGAGAACGGGAUGCACUCCCAUCAUAUGUUAUCGAAAUGAAUGCAUUUUUGGGCUUACUAAUUAUGGCCCACUUGAACUUUAUUCAUUUAUGGGCACAAGAUGGAUCAGGCGUAGAAAUGUUUAGGCUAACAAUGUGUUAUAAACGUUUUCUAUUUUUGUUAAGAUGUCUACUGUUUGAUAAUACAUCAGAUCGCGAGGAAGGACUAAAAAUUGAUAAUAUGGCAGCGAUAAGAUAUUUGUGUCAAAAUAUAGAAAGAAAGUUUUUAGCUGCUUAUUGCCCCGGCGAGAAUGUAACUAUCGAUGAACAGUUCAUUGGUUUUCGUUGUCGGUUUAGAGGGAAGGUUUACAUGCCUAAAAAGUACGGAAUAAAACUCCAAGCCAUGGUGGACUCGAAAACAUAUUACUUGUGUAAUUUUGAAGUUUAUUCUGGAAAACAACCAGAUGGAGAAUAUCAGAUAUCUAACUCUCCAGAUGAGAGUCUAGUUGAACCAAUAAUGCGCAGCGGUCGAAACAUAACAACUGACAAUUGGUACACAAGUACAAAACUAGCUAAGGAGUUGCUAAAGCCUGAAUACAAAUUGACUCUUGUUGGCACUUUGAAUAAAAGGAAGCCUAAUAUUCCAACCGAAUUUUUGCCAAACAAAAAUAGACCACCAUGUUCCUAAGCCAAAGAAAACUGUUGUAUUACUUUCCACCAUGCACUAUGAUAACGCCAUUGACGAAACAACAACCAGCGCUCAGAAACCAGAAAUAAUUACUUAUUAUAAUAGUACGAAAGGCGGUGUAGAUUGUAAUGACCAACUUUGCAGCUAAUGUUGGAAGAAGAACAAAAGCAAAUACUGAUAAGGGUAUUACGCAUAUAAGGCGGAUAUUUUUGAAGCAGUUAGCAGCAGCACUUGUACAACUUUGUGCUGUACCAACGACAACAAAGCGUGAAGUUCCUGAUGUGGAUGAGACGGUCCAACAAUCGACAGCUAAGCGCGGGCGCUGUUCAUCAUGUCCUAGAAAGAACGACAAAAAAGUGCCAACAAAAUGCUUCAAGUGUCACAAAUUUAUUUGUCAGCAACACUCGAGGUCUUACUGUGUCGAAUGCAAAACAGAAGAAUCCGCUGAUGAGACUGAUUAGUUUUCUUUUAUUUGAUCUCGACUAUGCCAAAAAAUAGUUUUAAGAGAAGUUACGUUUUUUAAUUUUUUUUAUUAGAUAUAAUGUUGCAGUUAUGUUUUUGUUUCUUAAAGUUAAUAAUAAUAAAGAAUACUAUCCCAGGCUUUCGGCAAUAAAAUGGGUAUCGUUGGAAAGAGGAGGUUCUCCAGAUUAAGAAUAUAUAUACAUAUAGCUGCAGCUGACUUAUAGUUUUCGAGAUAUUCGCACUUAAAGUUGAAAAAAAUGCUACUUUUAUAUUGAAUUUUCACAAUAUAUACUGAAUAUUUUAUUAAUAUUCUGCACUUAUUUUACACUUACACUUCACCACAUUGUUUCUGCAUAUUUAUUUUAUAAAAAUUAUGACGAAAAUGGCUGUAAAUAAAUAUUUAACAUUUUACACAAAUCUUCGUUUAAAAAAUAGCAAAAAGGGUUGCAGGUUGACAAGUAAUCAGUGUUGCCACAUCAAAUAUUUCGCAAAAAUCAAAAGAAUAAAAAUAAACAGAAAAAAGAAGGAUUAUACCCCAAACCAAACCAUAAUGGUGUUAUGACUAAUGCAAAGUCUUUCGGUAUUACCUUUUCUUUGAUAACACCCGGUGAUUGUCCGACCAGGGUUAUUUUUUUGAAGCGCGGCCGAAGGCCGCCAAUGCGGAAAGUAUUUCUACACGAAAGAAUAUUUCAAUUCCCCCACUUUGAUAACUCCCGGUGUUUGCUCGACCAGGGUUAUUUUUUUGAAUCGCGACCGAAGGCCGCCAAUGCGGAAAGUAGUUCUACACGAAAGAGUAUUUCAAUUCCCCCUCUUUGAUAACUCCCGGUGUUGGCUCGACCAGGGUUAUUUUUUUGAAGCGCGGCCGAAGGGGACCAAUGCGGAAAGUAGUUCUACACGAAAGAGUAUUUCAAUUCCCCCUCUUUGAUAACUCCCGGUGUUGGCUCGACCAGGGUUAUUUUUUUGAAGCGCGGCCGAAGGCCGCCAAUGUGGAAAGUAUUUCUACACGAAAGAACAUUUCAUUUCCCUUACUUAUAGUGCAUAGAGUGAAUAUCAUAAACUUUCUUAUAUUAUCUUUAUAUAAUCUUUUUAUAGGGCAUUUGUUUUCUGCAUUUUGGGUAUUUAUUUAUUUUGGUUCUUCUCAUUCGUUUGCAAAAUAUCUGAUAUGGCAACACUUAUUACUUGUCAAGCUGCAACCCUUUUUGUUAUUGUUGAAAUUAAGAGAUUUGUGUAAAAUGUUAAAUACUUAUUUACAGCUAUUUUCGUGAUAAAUUUUAUAAAAUAAGUAUGUGGUGAAGUGUAAGUGUAAAAUAAGUGCAUAAUAUUAAUAAAAUAUUCAGUAUAUAUUGUGAAAAUUCAAGAAAAAAAGUAGCACUUUUUUCAACUUUAAGUGAGAAUAUCUCGAAAACUAUAAGUCAGCUGCAGCUAUAUGUAUAUAUAUUCUUAAUCUGGAGAACUUCCUCUUUCCAACGAUACCCAUUUCAUUACCGAAAGCCUGGGAUAGUAUACUAAAGUUUCCCCUUUAUUAAUUACAAUAAAAUUAAUUUCAUUUUAUUUCGUUUUGACACUCAUUUCCUAAUAUUUGUUUGGGGUCACUCAAGACCCCAUGGCCCUAAUCGAUGCGUUUAAGGGUUAAAAGUGUGCACAUUUGGAGUCGCAUUUUUAAAUCGUUUCACAAUAUUAAUUAUGAACUAUGUAUGUACAUAAUAAAUACUGAACACCACUUUAUGUGAAGAACAAAAAUAUCCAAAUCUACAACCAUAAGAACUUUCGGUGUAGCACAGCAUGUAAAAGACAAUCUUACUUACUAUUAAAAUCUUAAUAAACCUACGUACGAAUUAUACGUAAUAGGAAACUUCAAUAACACGAUAACGGUCACUAUUACUUCAAUUCAACCACCAUUAAAGGGUGAAGAAUUUGAACUUGUAAAAUUCUUACAAUAUGUUACACAUAAUAACUAAUUUUACAUCCAACUAAAACAAAUCUGUAAUAGUAUCUUUCCUUCACCCAUGUGUCGAGAGUUAAGCCUCGCCUACAGAAGCAAUAACUAUUGUCCUCUAAGUUGGCGCCUUCAAAUAUAUUUGUAUCUUGCUAACUAAUCUUGACCAGAGAAAUUAUCUAUUGAAAAGAAACGAUAAUCGAAAUUAAUAACCACCCAGCAAGUCAGUCCACUUUCACACAGGCAACUCCUGUUGUUAAUUCGGGGGCGAUUCUCUUCUGCUGUCGCCCAUUGCGUUCACACGAGCAAUUCUUGUUCCACAACUCUGUUCGUGUCUUUCUCUCAUUCUCUUUCAUAUAAUUUUCUCAACUUCUUGUACGCAUCGUUUUCAAACAAAAAAAUAUAUUUCAUUAACUAAUUUUUUCGUUAUUCUCAAUUUUCUAACAUAUUUUAAUUAUAUUAUGCAUAUUUAUAUAUGUAUUUGCAAAUUACAUACAAAAAUAAAUGAUUAGAUUCAAAUUUUCAAAUAUAUUGCAUACAUUAAUUUUAAAAUGUACGCAAAUGCAACACUGUUACGUAUCAGCGAACUGUUACGAAUUAGAACACAAAGCGUGCUGCCCACACACAGCAGACUCGGCGCGGUUCUCCUCUCCUCGUCGCCCCCUCUCCUAUAAAACUAAGAAUUGCCGCAACAGGAAUUGCCUGUGUGAAAGGGCUCUCAUGGGUACUGAAACUCCAACACAUUCAAAGAAAUUUUAAUAACACCACUACAUACAUAUAUGUGCAACAAAGGUUAAAAUGUGCAUGAGCAUUUACCUCAACGCUUUUCUCGUACAGCACCCUGAAUGAGAGAGAGAAACAACAAAAGUUCUCGUUUGUUUGAACAAGUUUUGUUUUGAGCUAUAUCAUGGCUGCUUGUGAAGUAUCAUUUUGCGUGUUUUAUUUAAAUCAGUGAUCUGCAGCCUAAUUAAAGUUUAAAUUAUUGAACCACGCAUUUUUAAAUAAGUAAAACGUAAAAUAUAAAUUUUCUAAACCCAAAAUAUGGAAUUGAAGAGGGUGAUACAGUAAUACAGUCUAUUUUCUCUCCGUUGCGAGACGGCAUUCCUCAUCGUACCAGCUGUUUUUUUUACUUUUCCGAAAGCCAAUGGUUUCGGUUGCAGCGGCACGCGGAGUGUUUGAGAUGCCGUCCCACAGUUCUCUUAUACCGAGAUGCUGAUGAGUGCUCUCAGAGAGUAGGAGUGCAAGUCGAGAAGAGUAUGGCCGACUUCCUAAACGCAAGUUGCGAUGCAUAACUCGAAAAAAUGCGUAUGAAAUGCAAAGCUGAUUUUCAACGCAACUCUGCGUUGCAAAUAAAUGCUUUGCAUAUAAAUGACGUUUAGGAACGUCAUCGUAAAACUCAUACAUAAAACAUAUGUCAUAGCUAAUUAGCUAAUUCUUCAAAUAUUAAGUUAAUAAAAAAACUAAUUGAAAAGAAAAAAAAGAAACGGCAGUUUUUAUUAAGGACUUUGAAUUUAACGAGAAGAAAGGUGGUGAAAAAUAAAAAUUUUUGUGAAUCUGUUGUAUUGAUGGAAGACGAUAUAUUUUAUUCCCAUUUUCGGAUGCGAAGAAGCACAUUCAAGAGGCUGAUGACAAUGCUACAACCAAUGUGGACCGAAUCAUCAACAGGUCGUACUGCAGUUUCCAUGGAAAAGGCAUUGUAUUUGACAAUUUGGAAGCUUGCCAAUAAUACAUCAUUUCGACAAAUUAGUGACAGAUUUGAUGUAGGAAUGGGCGCCACUUAUAGAGCAUUUAUUAAAAUCCUCAAACUUAUAUGUCGUCUAAAAUCGACAAUAAUAAAAUUUCCGACUACUACUGCAGCUCAAAAAAAGAUCGCUGAUGGGUUUUCUCAACGUCGCCACAAUAUAUUUCCUUUUGUAUUAGGAUGCAUUGAUGGAACGCACAUUCCCAUAUCACAACCAAAAAACGAUGCAAUAAGUUUCUAUAACAGAAAAGGGACGUUUUCCAUCAUUGCACAGGCCAUUGUUGACUGCGAUAUGAAAUUUCUGGACGUCUUUGUCGGCUGUCCCGGACGAUGUCAUGACGCAUCAGUGUGGCAAAGGAGCCCAUUUCGUAGAGCACUAGUAAGCGGUGAAUUAAAAAUUCCACCAAAUCACCACUUCUUAGGCGACGCAGCUUAUCCGCUAGAAACGUUUCUCAUGGUGCCAUAUCGGGAUAAUGGUUUUUUAACAUCGCAGCAGAGCAAAUUUAACACUAUUUUAAGCACUAACCGAGUUUAUGUUGAACAGGCGUUCGGGAUAUUAAAACAAAAGUUCAGAAUUUUAAAAUUUAUUGGUGUACAGCUCGCUCAUAUUCCAAAAAUUAUUGUAUUAACGUGCAUGAUAAUACAUAACGUGAUUAUAAUCAAUGAAGGUCAGCAAAACAUUGAUUGGAUAGAAUUGGACGAAGAUGAGGCCCAAACAUCUGAAGUUAGUGUUCCAUCAUUGCAAAGAGAUGAAGCCCAACAAAAACGAAAUGCCCUGGCAACGUUGUUUUCAAGCUGAAUUAAACGACAAUUCUAAAAUAAAAAACACAAUUUGAAUAACAUGAACAUAAAUGUAUUUUAUUUCAUAAGAUAGGAACUUUCAAAACUAUAACAUAUAUAUAUAUAUAUAUAUUUCUUAUAAUUAUAUAAUAGUAAUAAUUUAUAUUAUUUAUAAACUAUCCUGGGUUUUCAAAUAAAGCCCGUAGUUGCUUUAAUUCUUUAAGUUUUUCUUUUUCAAUUUCAAGUCUUUCACUUUCUAUUUUUAUAAGCUUAUUUAUAGCUUCGUUUUCCUUUUCGGAUUCUUUCUCUAAGAAUUCGAUUACGUCAUUUCUCUUUCUUUUAACUGAUGUUGUAGGUGUUACAUCCAUUCCGUCAAUUGUUGCUGUGGUGGAGGGACUUUCCAAUGAAAUUAAAGAAUACUCGGUCAUUUCUAGUGGCACUUCAAUACUUGAACGACUCC